UACGGAGGAUGCAAGCGUUAUCCGGAAUGAUUGGGCGUAAAGCGUCCGCAGGUGGCAAUGUAAGUCUGCUGUUAAAGAGUCUAGCUCAACUAGAUAAGAGCAGUGGAAACUACAUAGCUAGAGUACGUUCGGGGCAGAGGGAAUUCCUGGUGUAGCGGUGGAAUGCGCAGAUAUCAGGAAGAACACCAGUGGCGAAGGCGCUCUGCUAGGCCGUAACUGACACUGAGGGACGAAAGCUAGGGGAGCGAAUGGG
rnacentral:rRNA from 1 species